CUUUCGCCACUCUGGCACAAACCGACACAGCUUUGCGAUCUCGCCAGCAUGCAGAGUCUGAUGUCUUCCCUAUAGAUGAUUCCAGAGACUCUGUGAGGCCACUAUUGCAAGGUGAGACGCUUUGCGUUGAUUGGUGCUGCUGGACCACACUGGAGGUGCGAGUCCGCCGUGUAAUGGUUUAUGCCAUUACAAAGGAGCUGGCCUCUGUACUCAACUGGGCAGGGAAAAAAUACCAAGGACCAGACAAAGCAAAAAAGGGCAUUUAAAGAGACAGCGCCGUGCAGAUGCAUAUUUGAUGGCCUGGCGCAGCAGGUAGGGGCGAACUCUAUGUCUGAGUUGGUCUUUGCUCAAGCAGUCCAGAAAUGGCUCAGAUAUGCUCCAGAUCGUACGGGUGGCACGCAGGACGCACAUCAUCCAUCCCCAUCCCGGAGUAAAUAAUAAAAAGUGACGUGAAACAUAGAAAUGUAAAUAGGAAACUUUGUCUUUUAAUAAAGUAUUUUGCAAAUGAUACAUGUCUAUUGACCUUUUUUGGUUU